rnacentral:rRNA from 1 species
CUCUUCGGAGUGAGUGGCAGACGGGUGAGUAACGCGUGGGAACCUACCUUUUAGUUCGGAAUAACUUGGGGAAACUCAAGCUAAUACCGAAUACGCUCUUCGGAGGAAAGAUUUAUCGCUAAAAGAUGGGCCCGCGUUGGAUUAGCUAGAUGGUGGGGUAAUGGCCUACCAUGGCUACGAUCCAUAGCUGGUCUGAGAGGAUGAUCAGCCACAUUGGGACUGAGACACGGCCCAAACUCCUACGGGAGGCAGCAGUGGGGAAUCUUCGGCAAUGGGCGAAAGCCUGACCGAGCCAUGCCGCGUGAGUGAUGAAGGCCUUAGGGUUGUAAAACUCUUUCGCUAGGGAAGAUAAUGACGGUACCUAGUAAAGAAGCCCCGGCUAACUCCGUGCCAGCAGCCGCGGUAAUACGGAGGGGACUAGCGUUGUUCGGAAUCACUGGGCGUAAAGCGCACGUAGGUGGAUUGGUAAGUUAGGGGUGAAAUCCCGGAGCUCAACUCCGGAACUGCCUUUGAUACUGCCAGUCUAGAGUUUGGAAGAGGUAAGUGGAAUUCCGAGUGUAGAGGUGAAAUUCGUAGAUAUUCGGAGGAACACCAGUGGCGAAGGCGGCUUACUGGUCCAAUACUGACACUGAGGUACGAAAGCGUGGGGAGCAAACAGGAUUAGAUCCCCUGGUAGUCCACGCCGUAAACGAUGGAAGCUAGCCGUCGGGCAGUAUACUGUUCGGUGGCGCAGCUAACGCAUUAAGCUUCCCGCCUGGGGAGUACGGUCGCAAGAUUAAAACUCAAAGAAAUUGACGGGGGCCCGCACAAGCGGUGGAGCAUGUGGUUUAAUUCGAAGCAACGCGCAGAACCUUACCUACCCUUGACAUACCGAUCGCGUUUUCCAGAGAUGGAUUACUUCAGUAGGCUGGAUCGGAUACAGGUGCUGCAUGGCUGUCGUCAGCUCGUGUCGUGAGAUGCUGGGUUAAGUCCCGCAACGAGCGCAACCCUCGCCUUUAGUUGCCAGCAUUAAGUUGGGCACUCUAAGGGGACUGCCGGUGAUAAGCCGGAGGAAGGUGGGGACGACGUCAAGUCAUCAUGGCCCUUACGGGCUGGGCUACACACGUGCUACAAUGGCGGUUACAGUGGGUUGCCACUCCGCGAGGAGGAGCUAAUCCCUAAAAAUCGUCUCAGUUCGGAUUGUUCUCUGCAACUCGAGAGCAUGAAGUUGGAGUCGCUAGUAAUCGUGGGUCAGCAUACCACGGUGAAUACGUUCCCGGGCCUUGUACACACCGCCCGUCACACCAUGGGAGUUGGGUUUACCCGAAGGCAGUGCGCUAACCGCAAGGAGGCAGCUGACCAC